rnacentral:piRNA from 1 species
UGGGAGUAUUGUGUCAUUUAGCGCAUCU